rnacentral:lncRNA from 1 species
GAGGAGAAAGGGAACAGAGAAGGUCCCCUUUUAAACUCUAGCACACAGUUGCAAUGUGACUGGCAAUCUGAGGUCCCAGAAGGCUUCUUCCAAGAAAGCUACAAUUGCAGAGCCAUAAAAAGUCUUCCUGGUGUUAAAAGGUUUGCAGAAGAAAUUAAAGACAAGAGAUUUGUGUGGAUAAAGAGAAUCUGUCACAGCUAUGCCAUACCCAGCUGUCAGCACUCAAGCCUUGGUAACAGGGUUAUGAGGAAGCAAAACCAGC